UAAAGUUUUGGUCCUAAACUUACUAUUGUUUUUUAUCAAAGUUACACAUGCAAGCAUCCACAUGCCAGUGAAAAUGCCCACAAACCCUAGACAGCCAACUGGAGCGGGUAUCAGGCUCAACCACCACAGCCCAAAACACCUUGCUAUGCCACACCCCCACGGGCCUUCAGCAGUGAUUAACAUUAAAAUAUAAGCGAAAGCUUGACUUAGUUAUGAUAAAUAUGGUCGGUAAAUUUCGUGCCAGCCACCGCGGUUACACGAAAGACUUAAAACAAUAGGUUUCGGCGUAAAGCGUGAACAGAGAAUACGCCUAAACAUUAAAGAUAAAACUAUAGUAGAGCUGUAAAACGCCCAAACUAAUAGGAAACUCAAAAAUCUUUAAACAAAAGGCUACUUAACUCACGAAAGCCAAGAGACAAACUGGGAUUAGAUACCCCACUAUGCUCGGCCCUAAACAAAGACAGUACCCACACAUUACUGUCCGCCAGAGAACUACAAGUGAAAAACUCGAAACUCUAAGGACUUGGCGGUGCCUCACAUCAACCUAGAGGAGCCUGUCCUAUAAUCGAUACCCCACGUUUAACCUUACCACCUUUUGCCCUCAGCCUAUAUACCGCCGUCGUCAGCCUACCUUAUGAGAGAAAAAUAGUAGGCAAAAUAGUUAACUACGCACACGUCAGGUCAAGGUGUAGCACAUAAGGUGGAAGAGAUGGGCUACAUUUUCUACCCCAGAACAUACGAACAGCCUAAUGAAAUUCGGACUUAAAGGUGGAUUUAGUAGUAAGAUAGACAAGAAAGCCUAUCUUAAACCCGCUCUGAGGCGCGCACACACCGCCCGUCA
rnacentral:ncRNA from 1 species